CCUUGUUCGGGAACUAUAUGUGCUAGCCUCAGCAGGAUUGUUAUCAGAGGCCCAGGCUACCUCUGCUGCACAUCGGGCUGCAGGCAAGGAGCAGAAGGGGAAAUGGGCAGUCCCGCAGGCAGACAAACAGUUCCUCAGUCUGCAUCCUGAGCAAGAUUUGAAACAAUGGCUCUGGCAGACAGACAAAAGAAGGGAGCUUGGCGCUGUUCCCAUAAAUGCUACUGCGUCCUUUCCUCAGUGAAGCUGCUGCUCUGCACUGGAAUCUCACACUCAGCUUAAGAAAGUCAAGUGAUACAGAUUUGAGCCAUCAAUCAUACUGUGGAAGCUAACUC
rnacentral:lncRNA from 1 species